UUUGGUGACGAUAGCGGAAGGGAACCACGCGUACCCAUCCCGAACACGGCCGUUAAGCCUUCCAGCGCCGAUGGUACUUGGACCGAAGGGUCCGAGUAGGACGUUGCCAAGC
rnacentral:rRNA from 1 species